AUUGAACGCUGGCGGCAGGCUUAACACAUGCAAGUCGAACGGUAGCGGGAAGAAGCUUGCUUCUUUGCCGACGAGUGGCGGACGGGUGAGUAAUGUCUGGGAAACUGCCCGAUGGAGGGGGAUAACUACUGGAAACGGUAGCUAAUACCGCAUAACGUCUUCGGACCAAAGUGGGGGACCUUCGGGCCUCACACCAUCGGAUGUGCCCAGAUGGGAUUAGCUAGUAGGUGGGGUAAUGGCUCACCUAGGCGACGAUCCCUAGCUGGUCCGAGGGGAUGACCAGCCACGAUGGAACGGAGACACGGUCCAGACUCCUACGGGAGGCAGCAGUGGGGAAUAUGGCACAAUGGGCGCAAGCCUGAUGCAGCCAUGCCGCGUGUAUGAAGAAGGCCUUCGGGUUGUAAAGUACUUUCAGCGAGGAGGAAGGUGUUGUGGUUAAUAACCACAGCAAUUGACGUUACUCGCAGAAGAAGCACUGGCUAACUCCGUGCCAGCCGCCGCCGUAA
rnacentral:rRNA from 1 species